GGGGAUAUGGCGAAAUUGGUAGACGCUACGGACUUAAAAUCCGUCGACUUUAGAAAUCGUGAGGGUUCAAGUCCCUCUAUCCCCAACAAAAAGCCCAUUUGAC
rnacentral:tRNA from 1 species